GUCUCACUCCUGUGGCACUUAUAACAACACAGGAAUAUUACAGAGAAGAUUAGCUGAGCCCCUGUGCAAAGAUGAUACAAAUUUGUAAAGUUGUCAUAUUUUU